rnacentral:rRNA from 1 species
UUUCCGGUUGAUCCUGCCGGACCUGACUGCUAUCGGAUUGAUACUAAGCCAUGCGAGUCUUUGUAGUAAUACAAGGCAUACGGCUCAGUAACACGUAGUCAACCUACCCUAUGGACAAGAAUAAUCUCGGGAAACUGGGCAUAAUUCUUGAUAGAUCAUAAUGCCUGGAAUGGUUUAUGGUUAAAAUGAUUCGUCGCCAUAGGAUGGGACUGCGGCCUAUCAGCUUGUUGGUGAGGUAAUGGCCCACCAAGGCGAUUACAGGUACGGGCUCUGAGAGGAGAAGCCCGGAGAUGGGUACUGAGACACGGACCCAGGCCCUAUGGGGCGCAGCAGGCGAGAAAACUUUGCAAUGUGCGAAAGCACGACAAGGUUAAUCCGAGUGAUUUCUGCUAAAGAAAUCUUUUGCCAGUCAUAAAACCACUGGUGAAUAAGGGGUGGGCAAGUUCUGGUGUCAGCCGCCGCGGUAAAACCAGCACCUCAAGUGGUCAGGAUGAUUAUUGGGCCUAAAGCAUCCGUAGCCGGCUUUGUAAGUUUUCGGUUAAAUCCAUGUGCUCAACGCAUGGGCUGCCGAAAAUACUGCAUAGCUAGGGAGUGGGAGAGGUAGACGGUACUCAGUAGGAAGGGGUAAAAUCCUUUGAUCUAUUGAUGACCACCUGUGGCGAAGGCGGUCUGCCAGAACACGUUCGACGGUGAGGGAUGAAAGCUGGGGGAGCAAACCGGAUUAGAUACCCGGGUAGUCCCAGCUGUAAACGAUGCAGACUCGAUGAUGCAUUGGCAUAAUAGCCAGUGCAGUGUCGCAGGGAAGCCGUUAAGUCUGCCGCCUGGGAAGUACGUACGCAAGUAUGAAACUUAAAGGAAUUGGCGGGGGAGCACCACAAGGGGUGAAGCCUGCGGUUCAAUUGGAGUCAACGCCGGG